UACGGAGGAUCCAAGCGUUAUCCGGAAUCAUUGGGUUUAAAGGGUCCGUAGGCGGUUUAAUAAGUCAGUGGUGAAAGCCCAUCGCUCAACGGUGGAACGGCCAUUGAUACUGUUAAACUUGAAUUAUUAGGAAGUAACUAGAAUAUGUAGUGUAGCGGUGAAAUGCUUAGAAGAUUACAUGGAAUACCAAUUGCGAAGGCAGGUUACUACUAAUGGAUUGACGCUGAUGGACGAAAGCGUGGGUAGCGAACAGG
rnacentral:rRNA from 1 species